rnacentral:lncRNA from 10 species
AUCCAAUGCAGAUAAAAAUCACUGGUAACCAAGUUCUGAAACAGAAUGGGGACUAAAAUUUGAAAAUCAAAUGGACUUGUUUGAAUAUUUGAAGAGCUUAAUUGUUCUGAUGCUUGAGGAAGUAAGUCUUAGCGCUUGUGUCAGACACUUGCCUUGACACUUGAAACGGAAUAUGUGAAGACCUGUACCUACAGGGAGUAUGCAUACAGAUUCUGAGGGCCUGGCAGAAAGAGGUACUCACUACUCCGCGUUCUACAGUAUAGCUGCCUAAGUAGAUUUUAGACUCCUUUCUCCCUUCUCAAAGAUACUGCCUCAAGCAAGAAAACAGAUUUAAUAGACCAAUGGAAUGAUUCUAAGCCAGAAAAUCUCAUGGGUAUGGAUAGUCUGUGAAACAGAAAAAAAAAAUGUAUUCAAACUUUUUUUCUCCUUGUGUUCUAAGUCAUAGUGUCAGUGUCAGAGGCAUUUGAACCAGAGCAACUCCAUCUUGAACAGGGGCCGGGUAAAAUAAGGCUGAGACGUACUGAGCUGCAUUCCCAGGAGGUUAGAUAUUCUUAGUCAGAGGAUGAGAUAGGAGGUCGGCACAGGUACAGGUCACAAAGACCUUGCUGAUAAAACUGGAUGUGGUAAAGAAGCUGGCCAAAACCCACCAAAACCAAGAUGGCAAUGAAAGAGACCUCUGGUCAUCCUCACUGUUCAUUAUACACUAAUUAUAAUACAUUAGCGUGUUAAAAUACACUCCUACCAGCUCCAUGGCAGUUUACAAAUGCCAUGGCAAUGUCCAAAAGUUACUCCAUAUAGUCUAAAAAGGGAAGGAACCCUCAGGUCUGGGAAAUCCCCUGCCCUUUCCCUGAAAAUUCAUGAAUAAUCCACCCCUUGUUUAGCAUAUAAUCAAGAAAUAACUGUAAGUAUACUCAGUUGAGUAGCUCAGUUGAGCAUACCAGUGCCCUGCCUAAGGAGUAGCCAUUCUUUUAUUCCUUUACUUUCUCGCUUUCACUUUACUUUCUUCCUUACUUGCUUUCACUUUACUCUGUGAACUUGCCCCGAAUUCUUUAAUGCGCGAGGUCCAAGAACCCUCUCUCGGGAUCUGGAUUGGGAUCCCUUUCUGGUAAAAAUAGUAUUGUGCCUGUUUUGUGAAGAGAGAAGGGAUCCAGAAGUGACUGCAUAGAAACAGCAGACAGGACAUCCCCACGGUUGAACUUUAAAUAAGAGUAAAAUGCAAAAGUUAAGUCUCGAAAAAUAAAGUGUUUUGCGCAUGGACUUGAUCAUAGUUUUUGUUACUAUGCCUUGGGUAAAGAGUUUUAAAAGAAUUUCCUUUUUGUCAAUCUUCCCUAAGAUACAGAAAUAGAAGUCUUUAGAGCAGAUGCUGUUUUUUUACUACUAUCAUAAACUAGCAACUGGUUUCAAAUAUGGUUUUUCCACUUCUGCUGUCUUUACAUUGUCAUUCACUUGUUUACUCAACUUUUAACAAACCUUUACAAAAUGCCUAUUCUGUACCAGCUACUAUGCUUGACACUAGGAAUAAAGAUAUAAAAAUCACUUUUUCUGCUCUCAAGGAACACGGUCUAUCAGGAUGGACAAACUAGUAAACACAAAUUAUAAUAUGGUAAAAUAUGUGCUAUGCUACUUCAAAAACAAAGUGCUAUGAAAGUAUGCAGAACAAAGACAAAGAAGUCAGGGAAUGCUUCCCAGAGCAGGUGAUGUAUGAUGUCCACACACUGAAAAACACUGGGUGGUGCUGGAUACCCAAAUGGGGGGCUUAAACUAAGAGACUUGUGGAGAUUUUAUUAAAAAGUGGACAGAUUUAAGAUAUACUACAGAGGUAGACUGGAUCAGAAGCAUCCUCACACUGGAUGUGUGGUUGAGGAAGAGGAUGGUGUCCAGGAUGACUGUUGGAAAUCUGCCUGGUGCAGCUGCAUAUCCAGAUUGUCAGUUACCAAGAUAAAGAAAGCCGAGGGAGGAUGAGUUUGUACAGGGUGCAGGGUGGAAAUCAGUUUAGUUCGAAUGUGCUGAGUCUGAGGUGCUAAUGAGACAGACAGGUGGAGGAGAGUGCAAAGGACCUAGGAAGUCCUGGACACAUGUUUGAGACUGGAGCUAUAAAAAGUAGUAUGACACAAAUGAGUACUCUUUAAACAAUUUUGAUCAUGAACCCUGUCAAUAAAAAUUGGUCAGCUGGAUUUGAAGGCCAUGAUUUACAUGUGCAGCAACAAUGGAUUCCCAAAUAUGCCCGCUGCAAGAGACUUAGCUCCCCAAUCAGUCAGGGCAGCAUCAGGUAUGCAGGUGUCUCCUCUGGGUGCUGCGGAAGAGCAGAGUGAGAUGUGCUUUUUGUAGGUGGCAAAUCCCCAAAGAGGAAGGAAGAAAGGACUGGGACAAGCACCUUCAGCUUCUUCCAAGCUUACCAUCCUAUAAGCUACUCCUCUUUCCUGGAAGAGGAGAGUUUCCUGGUGGAGCCGGAAGCUGUAGACCCUUCCACUUGUAACAUCAAAGUAGAGAAAAGAAAUCCCCCUGAUGCCACACAUGCUUUUAAAUAAGAUGCAAUAAACUCUUUGCUUAUGAUCACAACAUAUGCCCUAGUAUUUUCCCGAUAACCUCGGCCAAUAAUUGGUUCUUAUGGCCCAUUCCAAGACACAUUGUUGCUAUGGCCCUUCUUCCCACAUCUAUUUCUCAGGCAGUGUCGCUUCCUUCUAACCCUGAUAUUGCUUUUAGCCUGAAAUAUAAAUUCUGUUUUGUAACUCUAAAUGCU